rnacentral:rRNA from 1 species
AGUGAACGCUGGCGGUAGGCCUAACACAUGCAAGUCGAACGGCAGCACAGUAAGAGCUUGCUCUUACGGGUGGCGAGUGGCGGACGGGUGAGGAAUACAUCGGAAUCUACUUUUUCGUGGGGGAUAACGUAGGGACACUUACGCUAAUACCGCAUACGACCUGCGGGUGAAAGCAGGGGAUCUUCGGCCCUUGCGCGAUUGAAUGAGCCGAUGUCGGAUUAGCUAGUUGGCGGGGUAAAGGCCCACCAAGGCGACGAUCCGUAGCUGGUCUGAGAGGAUGAUCAGCCACACUGGAACUGAGACACGGUCCAGACUCCUACGGGAGGCAGCAGUGGGGAAUAUUGGACAAUGGGCGCAAGCCUGAUCCAGCCAUACCGCGUGGGUGAAGAAGGCCUUCGGGUUGUAAAGCCCUUUUGUUGGGAAAGAAAAGCAGCAGGUUAAUACCCCGCUGUUCUGACGGUACCCAAAGAAUAAGCACCGGCUAACUUCGUG